GGAAGGUGGAGGCGCUGGGAUGGAACUUUCAGGUUUGGUGGACUGGCGCCGCCGCCCGCGGCCUGACAGCUGCGGCACUGGGCUGGGCUGCUCCCGGAAGGACGCCGUAGAUCUCCGCGGUCUCCUUGCGGGCCCCUGUCUUUCUCGUAGCCUCUUUGCUGCGGCCUUCUGCCUCGUCUAGCCUGCGCCCCUACUGUGUGCUACGUCUGUGGUCGACUCAGAUACCACUAUAAAGGCGAGGAAUUGUUUCAAGCGCUCCCCGCGAUUUAGAUCAUUAAAGUUCCACAACCUUUCCAUGACCAUUCUGGUUUUACGUAAGGCGCGCCGAACAGCUGAGCUAACUCAUUCUUCACGAUGGAGGUGAUAUUGGAGCAGCUGGUGGCACUGAGAGCAGCUGAGCUCGGGUCACAAGGAGGCUUUAGGAGAGAAAUGCCUUCAGAGUUGUGUACUUUUCCACUGAUCAUCUGGUGACUACCCCAGGGAGGUGUAUUUCCAUUUUGAGAAAAGAAAUGCUUUCCUGCACAAGGAAUCAGGAAUGAAGGAACCCAGAUCAAAGUCUGCCUGCAGCCUGAGGGGAAAGCUCUUAUCCAGCUGUGGGCAGGUCCUUUUACCAUCACUGGCACCUCACUGACCACAUGGACAAAACUGACAUGAAUGUAAGGUGUUGCAAGCAUUAGGUGAUAAUCAUCUUUGCAAAAUAUUUCACAUAAUAUGGCCAAUCGUUAAUUGGUGAAUUUUGGAAAAGGGUGUUUACUAGACUAUUCUUGCAAUCUUCUUGUUGAUUUAAAAAAUUCCAAAAUAAAGAAGGGGAAGGAGUAAA